GGCGAACGCUGGCGGCGUGCUUAACACAUGCAAGUCGAACGGUAAGGCCCUUCGGGGUACACGAGUGGCGAACGGGUGAGUAACACGUGGGUGAUCUGCCCUGCACUUCGGGAUAAGCCGGGGAAACUGGGUCUAAUACCGGAUAGGACCACUGCCUGCAUGGGUGGUGGUGGAAAGCUUUUGCGGUGUGGGAUGGGCCCGCGGCCUAUCAGCUUGGUGGUGGGGUGAUGGCCUACCAAGGCGACGACGGGUAGCCGGCCUGAGAGGGUGACCGGCCACACUGGGACUGAGAUACGGCCCAGACUCCUACGGGAGGCAGCAGUGGGGAAUAUUGCACAAUGGGCGCAAGCCUGAUGCAGCGACGCCGCGUGAGGGAUGACGGCCUUCGGGUUGUAAACCUCUUUCAGCACCGACGAAGCGCAAGUGACGGUAGGUGCAGAAGAAGGACCGGCCAACUACGUGCCAGCCGCCGCCGUAA
rnacentral:rRNA from 1 species